GAAAAUGCAAAACCUCAUGUCUUACCACAACUUUCCCAUGGUAUUGCUAAUUACUUAGAGUCUCUAAAAUUGCCCAAUAUUAUUUCCCUUUGCAAAUGGUAAUUUCUGAUAAAACAAUACAAAACAAAAAAAAAGCAGUAAUCACAGCCAAAUAAAUGAAACACCUAAUGAGAAUUACUGUUGAGUAAUGCUUUUUAUUAAGUGGCACAAAGUACACACUAAAAACUAUGCAAAAUAUAGGUAACUACAGUGUACGUACAUGUAAGUAUCUUGUACUUGCUGUGUAUGGAUGUUGGAAACCCAUGUAAUUAUAAUAUGCAUUUUGAAUAUUGGGAAAGAGGAAAUCUUAGUGUAGAUAAUAGAAUUUGUUUUGAAAUAUACACUGGCAAUAUUGAAAUAUACUCAGUGCAAUAUCUGCAGUUCUAUUGCUGGAUACUUAAUGCAAAGGGAUUUUAAAGAAUUCUUCAGCAAGAUCCAAGAGGUUGCUAAUCUUCACCUCUCACAUACUAAAGCAUUCAUUAAAAAUACAACUAAUUCAAGGACAAGUUAAGUUUUUCUUAUUAAUGUGACACAGUAACAUUUUUAUUUGGAUUAGUUUUUGGUGUUAUUGCAGAGAAAGAAAUAACCUGAGUUUUAAAUUUCGAUUCAUAUCUCAUUGAAUUGGGAAUUCUUCAAUUUUGUUUGAAAUGUGUGCAUGUUUUCAUAGAUUGUAGCAAGUACAAAUGUAUUCAAUGAAAGAACAUAGGGUAGUUUUAAUAGUUAAAGUCACUAUAUCUUAAUGGGAAUUUUAAAAUAUCUUUUCUUUUUCUAUUCAUUUUUUCCCUUUCUCUCUCUAUUCUACCCCCAAACAAGCCCUUUGCACUCAUACCCUUCCAAAGGCAAUGGAUUGAAAGUAGCAAGAUAAUAAAGAGAGUUAAAGGGGACAACAUAUAACAAUGGGUUCUAAAAUCAUCAGCAUUUUUAUGUAUUGAGAUUAUUAAUAUUGAAUGCAAUAGUUAUUGGAUAUAGCUGGUAAGUUCUCUGCCAUGCAUACUUACAAUAAUCCUUCUACCUCUCACUUUUAACAUGGGCUAUGAUACUUCAAUAUAAAUAGAGGAAAUAAUUAUUUACCAGAUAUCCCAGGAAGCAUUCUUAUGGAACUAUUAUAACAGUGCACUCCCCACCCCCUGGGAAAUCUCAAAAGCCAAGUUCUUCAGUGUAUUCUAUGGUGUAUGAAUCUGCAUUUGUUUUUCCUUUUCUAUCAUUAGCUUUUCCUAAAGGCAAAAUAUUAUAACUUUAUAAGAAUAGUCCUUCUCCUGCCUAUUUAAUAUUUCAAUGUUAAUAUAAUUGUAUUGGUUUUUAAAAAUAAUUAAAAUGGCAACACUUUGCGAUCCAAUCUGAUAUUUAAUUUUUAAAAUGUAACAAUUUCUUAUAAAUUCAUGCUGUGUUUUAAGUAAAAAUCAUGUAUAUGAAUUAUUUUACCAAGUAGUAUUAUCUGCACGAGACAAAUUUAAGUAUUUUAAAAAUCAUCCUUAUUAAUAAAUAAUCCUCAUAUAAUGCACAGUAUUGCCACAAAUGCCCACUUCAUUUUGUCUGCAUAGACAUAUUAAGAAUUUUUCAAUGAUGUAAUUUAAUUAUCCUAAAAGAAAUGACAGAUUCUUCUGUAGGAAAAAAUAAAAACAUGAAUAUCUCAAAUUAUAAUGGUUAAUCUCUAAAAUAUGCUUAAAGUAAGAUGUUUCUAUGUUAUGUGGUUAUGUUAUCAAUAAUAUUUGGUUGAUCUUCACAUAUUUUAUAUGCAUAUAUAUAUCAAGAAGUUAUAUAUAUAUAACUCAAGAAACUCAAGUUAUAUAUAUAUGUCAAGAAAUGUAUGAUUAUUUUGGAGAGAAUGGGCCCAAAUGUGAAAAAGAUAUAAAAAAAACAAAAAAAACAAAAAAAAAACACUAUUUUCCCCUACGAAAUAUACUGUAUAUUUCAAAAGAAGAAAAGUUAAAAGAUAUUUGAAGAUUGCAGGGGCAAAACAAAAACCUACCAGGGCUCAGCACUUAAGCACUUUUCCCACAUCCAGGGUCAAAGCAGCAGUAACUACAUGGACUUUUAAGUGCGGUAUGAAAUGCAACAUUACGCUUACAAACAGUACUGUCAAACCUCAAAUGCUUUCUUUCUUCAGAUGCUUUUUCGUGUACAUGAUACUAGUAGACACUUUUCUCUUUAUAUUUACUGAUAGUGAAAAUCAUACGCAAUAAAAUAUUGAUGUUUGAAGGCAGUGGUCACCAAUUGGUUAAAAAACUAUGAAAUGUAAACUGAAUUGUUAUAUCUCUAUCCUUUUUGCUUUUCUCUGUGUUUUUAAUGUAUGGAAUAAAUCUCAUAAAUAGAAAGAAAAAUAAUCUAGAAAUUUUUCAAAGCUAGUACUCUUUCUCCUUAUAAAUGUACACAAUUUUAAUCUUUUUACAAAUUUAUUUAACUGUACCUACUGUACUUAUUGUAGAUUCAAUGACGCAGUUAAGUCAUCACCCAAGGAUUUAUGAAUUUGAGAUUACUGACCUGUUUUCUUCAUAUUGCAUUCACAUCAAUAUUUGUGAAUUUGUUGUUCAGCUUUUCAUUCAAACAAAAAAUAUUCCCUCAAGAAAGCUCCAUUUUUAUCAUAAACAUUUCAACAUAACCAACAUUAGAACAAGUCUGCCAUGUUAAAAAUAAUUUAAAGACUUAUCUCUGAAAACGGUAUCCAGAAACGCAGGUGUUCCCAGUAAUGUAGCUUCAAAAAUAAAAUGUGCUAUUUAUAUGACAUGAAAUUCAUAACUUUUGGAAGGGUAUAUUUAUGACAGCAUAAAAAAUAAAUUCUGUGCUAUAAAGAAGAUCCAACAAAUUAACCAUAUAAGCACAGAAAAUAGAGAAACACAGUUAUUGAAUCUACUCUUGUCAUUAACAUUUUCAAAAAACAAAAUGCAUAUUGUAAUAUUUGGUACAUGACACUUGCAUGUUGAUAUGCCUAUAUACUUACAAAGUAUUCAAUGUGUACUUAGCGGCGCUUAAAAUAUGUCAUGUACAACUCUUAUAAACAUUUUUACAGGGUUCCCAUUUGCACUUCAUCUUUCAGUAAAGUCUUGUCAGAAAAAAAUUGUCUGAUAAAUAUGGAAAAAUAAAAUUUGAAUUUUAGUUAUCUGUUGGACA
rnacentral:lncRNA from 1 species